rnacentral:rRNA from 1 species
GAUGAACGCUAGCUACAGGCUUAACACAUGCAAGUCGAGGGGUAACAGGAGAGAAGCUUGCUUUUCUUGCUGACGACCGGCGCACGGGUGAGUAACGCGUAUCCAACCUUCCCCUUAGUAGAGGAUAGCCCGGCGAAAGUCGGAUUAAUACUCUAUGUUCUUCCUGGAUGGCAUCUGAUGGGAAGCAAAGGUUCACCGCUAAGGGAUGGGGAUGCGUCUGAUUAGCUUGUCGGCGGGGUAACGGCCCACCGAGGCGACGAUCAGUAGGGGUUCUGAGAGGAAGGUCCCCCACAUUGGUACUGAGACACGGACCAAACUCC